rnacentral:rRNA from 1 species
GACGAACGCUGGCGGCGUGCUUAACACAUGCAAGUCGAACGGACCCUUUGGGGUUAGUGGCGAACGGGUGAGUAACACGUGGGUGAUCUGCCCUGCACUUUGGGAUAAGCCUGGGAAACUGGGUCUAAUACCGGAUAGGACUACGCACUGCAUGGUGUGUGGUGGAAAGCUUUUGCGGUGUGGGAUGGGCCCGCGGCCUAUCAGCUUGUUGGUGGGGUGAUGGCCUACCAAGGCGACGACGGGUAGCCGGCCUGAGAGGGUGACCGGCCACACUGGGACUGAGAUACGGCCCAGACUCCUACGGGAGGCAGCAGUGGGGAAUAUUGCACAAUGGGCGCAAGCCUGAUGCAGCGACGCCGCGUGAGGGAUGACGGCCUUCGGGUUGUAAACCUCUUUCGCCAGGGACGAAGCGCAAGUGACGGUACCUGGAGAAGAAGGACCGGCCAACUACGUGCCAGCAGCCGCGGUAAUACGUAGGGUCCGAGCGUUGUCCGGAAUUACUGGGCGUAAAGAGCUCGUAGGUGGUUUGUCGCGUUGUUCGUGAAAACUCACAGCUUAACUGUGGGCGUGCGGGCGAUACGGGCAGACUGGAGUACUGCAGGGGAGACUGGAAUUCCUGGUGUAGCGGUGGAAUGCGCAGAUAUCAGGAGGAACACCGGUGGCGAAGGCGGGUCUCUGGGCAGUAACUGACGCUGAGGAGCGAAAGCGUGGGGAGCGAACAGGAUUAGAUACCCUGGUAGUCCACGCCGUAAACGGUGGGUACUAGGUGUGGGUUUCCUUCCUUGGGAUCCGUGCCGUAGCUAACGCAUUAAGUACCCCGCCUGGGGAGUACGGCCGCAAGGCUAAAACUCAAAGGAAUUGACGGGGGCCCGCACAAGCGGCGGAGCAUGUGGAUUAAUUCGAUGCAACGCGAAGAACCUUACCUGGGUUUGACAUGCACAGGACGCCGGCAGAGAUGUCGGUUCCCUUGUGGCCUGUGUGCAGGUGGUGCAUGGCUGUCGUCAGCUCGUGUCGUGAGAUGUUGGGUUAAGUCCCGCGACGAGCGCAACCCUUGUCUCAUGUUGCCAGCACGUUAUGGUGGGGACUCGUGAGAGACUGCCGGGGUCAACUCGGAGGAAGGUGGGGAUGACGUCAAGUCAUCAUGCCCCUUAUGUCCAGGGCUUCACACAUGCUACAAUGGCCGGUACAAAGGGCUGCGAUGCCGUGAGGUGGAGCGAAUCCUUUCAAAGCCGGUCCCAGUUCGGAUCGGGGUCUGCAACUCGACCCCGUGAAGUCGGAGUCGCUAGUAAUCGCAGAUCAGCAACGCUGCGGUGAAUACGUUCCCGGGCCU